UACGGGGGGGGCAAGCGUUGUUCGGAAUUACUGGGCGUAAAGGGUUUGUAGGUGGCUUGUUAAGUCAGACGUGAAAUCCCUCAGCUUAACUGGGGAACUGCGUCUGAUACUGGUGAGCUUGAGUGCAGGAGAGGAACGCGGAAUUCCAGGUGUAGCGGUGAAAUGCGUAGAUAUCUGGAGGAACACCGGUGGCGAAGGCGGCGUUCUGGACUGCAACUGACACUGAGAAACGAAAGCCAGGGUAGCAAACGGG
rnacentral:rRNA from 1 species